GACGAACGCUGGCGGCGUGCUUAACACAUGCAAGUCGAACGCUGAAGCUCAGCUGUUGGUGGGUGGAUGAGUGGCGAACGGGUGAGUAACACGUGAGUAACCUGCCCCCUUCUUUGGGAUAACGCCCGGAAACGGGUGCUAAUACUGGAUAUUCACUGGUCUUCGCAUGGGGGUUGGUGGAAAGGGUCUUUCUGGUGGGGGAGGGGCUCGCGGCCUAUCAGCUUGUUGGUGGGGUGAUGGCCUACCAAGGCUUUGACGGGUAGCCGGCAUGAGAGGGUGACCGGUCACAUUGGGACUGAGAUACGGCCCAGACUCGUACGGGAGGCAGCAGUGGGGACUAAUGCACAAUGGGCGCAAGACUGAUGCAGCGUCGCCGCGUGAGGGAUGGAGGCCUUCGGGUUGUGAACCUCUUUCGCUCAUGGUCAAGCCGCAACAAUGGUUGUAGUGAGGGUAGUGGGUAAAGAAGCGCCGGCUAACUACGUG
rnacentral:rRNA from 1 species